UUCCAGACUCCUACGGGAGGCAGCAGUGGGGAAUUUUGCGCAAUGGGGGAAACCCUGACGCAGCAACGCCGCGUGCGGGACGAAGGCCCUCGGGUUGUAAACCGCUUUCAGCAGGGAAGAUCCAAGACGGUACCUGCAGAAGAAGCCCCGGCUAACUACGUGCCAGCAGCCGCGGUAAUACGUAGGGGGCAAGCGUUAUCCGGAUUUACUGGGUGUAAAGGGAGCGUAGGUGGCAUGGCAAGCCAGAAGUGAAAACCCGGGGCUUAACCCCGCGGAUUGCUUUUGGAACUGUCAGGCUGGAGUGCAGGAGGGGCAGGCGGAAUUCCUGGUGUAGCGGUGAAAUGCGUAGAUAUCAGGAGGAACACCGGUGGCGAAGGCGGCCUGCUGGACUGCAACUGACGUUGAGGCCCGAAAGCGUGGGGAGCAAACAGGAUUAGAUACCCUUGUA
rnacentral:rRNA from 1 species